rnacentral:rRNA from 1 species
AGCUUGCUCUCAGGGUGACGAGUCGGCGGACGGGUGAGUAAUGUCUGGGAAACUGCCUGAUGGAGGGGGAUAACUACUGGAAACGGUAGCUAAUACCGCAUAACGUCGCAAGACCAAAGAGGGGGACCUUCGGGCCUCUUGCCAUCAGAUGUGCCCAGAUGGGAUUAGCUAGUAGGUGGGGUAACGGCUCACCUAGGCGACGAUCCCUAGCUGGUCUGAGAGGAUGACCAGCCACACUGGAACUGAGACACGGUCCAGACUCCUACGGGAGGCAGCAGUGGGGAAUAUUGCACAAUGGGCGCAAGCCUGAUGCAGCCAUGCCGCGUGUAUGAAGAAGGCCUUCGGGUUGUAAAGUACUUUCAGCGGGGAGGAAGGUGUUGUGGUUAAUAACCGCGGCAAUUGACGUUACCCGCAGAAGAAGCACCGGCUAACUCCGUGCCAGCAGCCGCGGUAAUACGGAGGGUGCAAGCGUUAAUCGGAAUUACUGGGCGUAAAGCGCACGCAGGCGGUCUGUCAAGUCGGAUGUGAAAUCCCCGGGCUCAACCUGGGAACUGCAUUCGAAACUGGCAGGCUAGAGUCUUGUAGAGGGGGGUAGAAUUCCAGGUGUAGCGGUGAAAUGCGUAGAGAUCUGGAGGAAUACCGGUGGCGAAGGCGGCCCCCUGGACAAAGACUGAC